GAGUUGUGGCUCCUGGUUACUUCUCAGAGUGAAGAAGAUGCUGCAGCAGUCAGGUGAAAGUUGCAACUGGGAAAAUGAAGGCCUUCUCCCAAAUUUCCUCAUCCCAAUAACACGAUUUCCAUAUCCAACCACAGUUCUGUGUCCUCAGAGACACUCAGAAGUGCAGAUUGGUGGUGGUGCUAUCCAGAAUUUCCAUCACAUUUUAACCUGGGAAAGUAACUCCAGAGCCACAGGCUGGCGCAACUCGAAGUUUUCACACCAAUGGCUUCCUUAAAAUUGACCAAUAUUAAUUUCAUGAGGAUUUCCA
rnacentral:lncRNA from 1 species